CUUUAAAUAGGUUUAAAAAAAAAAAGUUCCCUCCCCCAAAACAGGGUUUAAAAAAAAAAAAUCCCCACUCCAUUAUUAUUUUUUACAGUUUUCAAUUUUUAAAAAAAUUUAAAGGGUUUUUGGGAAGUCUGAGCACUGUGUUGCGAGCAAAGCCUGCAGCAGGGUGGCAGGCAGAGGUGGUAGAGGUCACCAAGCUGGUGCAGGGGGCUGCGGUGGGCAGAGAAGAUGCUAUCCUGGGGUCCCACAGGUCCCCAUCAACGAAUUCUUUGGCCAGGUGAGAAGGUGGCGCAAAGGCUCUCCUAUCUGGAGGAGCCUGCUGCUGCUGAACCAGUUCCUGGACCAGUGGCAGUUCCAUCAGGUAGUGGUGCUCCACCGGGGCUGGUGCCCAGUGCAGAGCUUGGAGGUGUAGGCGGCUGUCCUGCCAGAGAAGCUCCUUCUGUGGCGAGGGUGGGGGGGCAGGGAGUUGGCAGUGCAGCCAGAUUUUCCCUCUCUCUUAUGGCCUUUCCAACACUCCUCUUGCCAGUCAGUGGGGGCCUCUCUGAUGAUAUCCAGGUCGUGGCAGCAUCCAGUGCUGGGGCCUCCCAGUCUGGCUCCGAGGAGGAAGAGUCUGCUGAUGAGGUGGAGGGGGCGGCCCCUCUGCCAGUGAAGCCGGGCCCUUCUUCUUCCAUGGAGGGUGGAAGGGGGGUGGGUGACAGCAGUGGGCGAGCACCAGCAGCCCCCCUAGCUCCGUGGUCACCCAAGAGGCCCAAGGUAUCUCCCAGGGCAUCUAAGGCCACCUAGAGCAGUGAUGUUUAGCAGCAUUUUGAGGUCCUUCAAGAUGCCCCAACUGCUCCUUGCUGUGUCCACUACAGGGCACAGGUCAGUCGGGGCAAGGAUGCAAAGUAUCUAGGGAUGACCUCCAUGUGACGACACAUGCAACGGUGUCACCUGGAUCUCCUUGACUCCACUGGUGGCGCUAGUGUGCCUCGUGUGGCUGCGACUAGCGCUGACAAGGGCGGUGCACCAGCUUCCAUAAAGCAGAGCAUGCUGCCAGCCACCCUCUGAUCAGGGUGGUGUUCUGUAGGAGGGGACUCCCAUUAUUUCCCCACUGUCACGGACGUACCACCACCUGGUUAAGGUUGGACUCACAGUCACACUCCACCUUCGCAGGGGAAAGGGGCAGCGGCCAACUCGCUGCAGUCAACUCGCUGCCGGUCAAUUGGACACGGCCAACUGGCUGCAGGGACAACCCGCUGCAGGGAACAAUGCAACUCUACCCCGCAAGCCCGUCCUGUCACUUUGGCUUUUGAUCCGGAGGGGACAAGCGGGAGGGAGGUGAGAAGAAGCCAGCCCUCCCCCCCAAAAGAAAGCUUGAAAAAUCUUUUACACACAAUGGAGUUUUCUCAAGCUGCAGGCAGGAACCCUGCAGCAGCACUGUCUGCGCCGGAUCGAAAGCCAAAGUGACAGGACAGGCAUGCGGAGGGGGCGGGCAGGAGGAAGAUGUGUUGUUUGCCGAGCGGAAGCUGAAGGGAUGGCUCUCUGGGCGAUCCUCCUGCUUUGGACAGAGAGCCUCCCAGUCCUCCUCCUGCCCACCUGCCCCUUGGUUUUGUCAGGAGGAACUCCGUUUUGCAGGAGAGCUUUUUCAGUGAGGCUGGCAAGUUGCCUCCAGAAAAGGACCGUUUGACUCAAAAUGGGUAGAGCCCACAUAACUGCUCUCCUAGCCCACCUCCCCCCCCACCCUAUCCCAGUGAGCCACGGAGCAAAACAGCAGCUGCUGUGGGGAGUGAGUUGAUGCUGUUCUACUAAAUGACGUUAUCACACCUCUUUCACUGCAGUACUACAAUGUCAUAUUUAGACAGCAGAAUCAAAAUCUGAGAAGAAUCACAAAUGUUUUUUUAUUUUUUACAAUUGCAUUUUUGUCACCUCUCCAGAGGUGAUAAAUAGUUCAGAUUGAUGACAAAUAUGAAAAAGAGGCUAUUUUGAUCCAAUAUGGUGUUCUGGUCAUAAUACUGCUCCAGAGUCAGUAACAGUUAUACUGUGGACUUGCAGACAUCUAGAAGCCCGAGCAUGUAUACACUUAUCCAAGCUCUGGAAGUUGUACAGGGCUGGGCCCAGAAACAGAGUGGGGAAAUUGAUCCACCCCAGACAUUUCAAUUCUCAUGAGGCACAACCCCACAUUUAGGAAUGCAGAGAGACAGUCUAACACCACACCAAAUACAAGCAAGUUUUGACAACUGCAUGUUUAUUUUGAAACCCCACAGUAUCCAACAAGAGGCUGUGUUCUAUAUGGGGAGGAUGCUAGGAGAUAUGCCAAUUUUCAACAUGCGAAUAAUGCGGCCCAGAUUAGAUAAGUGAUAUGAGGAGGAUUCUAGGAGAUAUGCCAGUUUUCAACAUGCAUAUAAUGCAGCCCAGACUACAGCCCAGUCUCUUGUUCAUGCAAAAAUAAAUUAAUAGAUAAAAGCCUAACAGUCUGUGCAGUCCUGCAGAGUGAAUGAUUGGCAUGGCAACUUGAUAUCUUCUCUGCCAUGUAAGCAGUUUUAUGCUGGGCCAUAGGGUGCAGAGAGUUGUACUUUCCUGCAGAGAAUUAAAAAAACAACUAUACAACAUGCACACACACCUUGGCCAAGAAAUCUCCUAAGAGUUUUACUAAACAAUUCAAAAUUCAACCACACACCAGAUCCCCCAAGUGUUCUGUUACUAUCCCUGGGAUACAUGUGAGGUAGUCUGUUUUAAUAAGAGAACUCAGCAGCAAGGUCUGCUGCUGCUUUGGGGAGACCCGUAAAGGGGCAAUAUGAGGAUCAAAAUGGCAGCUCGCCUGCUCUAAAGCUCUGGUGCAGGCUUUGCACCUGACAUUUCACUUCUCAUGAGGCACAACACUACAGGUAGGAAUGCAGAGAGAUUCUUCCUUCCACUGCAGAAUGUGAAAGACAUGCUUUGGUGGGUGGUAGGUGGAAAUUUAGCUUCCUCUCACCUCCCUCCCGCUUGUCCCCUCCGAAUCGAAAGCCAAAGUGACAAGACGGGCUUGCGGGGGGAAGUUGCGUUGUUCUCUGCGGCGAGUUGGCCACGUCCAAUUGACCGGAGGUGAGUUGGCCACGGCGAGUUGUUGAGUUGUCAUAGACUCGAGGGGCGAGGGGCCCAUUAGAGAGGCCUGCCCGAGAAGGUUAUUGGAUCCAAUAGGGUUCCAAGAAGCCUUGGAGGGAUUUAGUGUUGGCUCUGCUGGUGAUCCUGUUGAUGCCCUGGUGAAGAAUUGGAACAGCUAACUCACCAGGGCAGUAGACAUGAUCGUUCCUAAGCAUCCUCUUUGACCCGCUUCAAAAUUGGCCCCUUGAAAAGAGAAACUACGGGGACUGGAGCGCAAGUGGAGGAAGACUCGACUUGAAUCCAACAGAUUACAACACAGAGCACAUUUGAAGAUCUGUGCUUUGGCAAUACGGGCGUCAAAGAAGCUAUUCUUUUCAGCACGUAUUGCGUCCGCAAGUUCAUGUCCAGUGGAGUUGUUCAGGGUUGUGAGAGGGCUAGUGAGUGCCCCUCCUUUCUUGAAUCAGAAUUAGGAACCAUCUAUUACCCGCUGUGACGUGUUUAUUGAUCUGUGUGUCGAUAAAAUCUCUCGUAUAUGGGCCAACUUGGAUUUAGACCCCACAAUUACUGCAGUGUCAGAAUCGGAGGUGUCCAGAGACUCCUCUUAUGUGGUUAGGCUGGAUCAGUUUCAGUUUGUGAAUCGUGAGGAUGUGGACAAGCUGCUUGGAGCGAUGCGGCCUACCACCUGUUCUCUUGACCCUUGCCCAACAUGGCUAAUACUAUCUGGCAGGGAGGUUGUUGUAGAAGGCCUAGUAGAGAUCAUAAAUGCUUGUCUGAGGGAGGGCAGGAUGCCUCCUUGCCUCAAGGAGGCAAUUAUUAGACCACUUCUGAAGAAGCCUGCCCUGGAUUCCUCAGAGUUGAGCAACUAUAGGCCUCUCUCCAACCUUCCGUGGUUGGGCAAAGUAAUUGAGAGGGUGGUGGUCUCCCAACUCCAGGCAGCAUUGGAUGAAACUAAUUAUCUAGACCCGUUGCAGACCGGCUUUCAGGUGGGCUAUGGGGUGGAGACUGCCUUGGUCGGCCUGAUGGCUUUUCUCCAAUUGGGAAUUGAGAGAGGAAGUGUGACUCUGUUGGUCCUUUUGGAUCUCUUGGUGGCUUUCGAUACUAUUGACCACAGUAUCCUUCUAGAGCAGGCCUGCACAACAUAAGGCCCGGGGGCCGGAUUCGGCCCACAGAGACUAUUUUACUGCCCCCCAGGUAUCCUGAAGCAACACAGCAGCUGGAAACUGCCUUAUAGCACCAUCCUGUGCGUGCAUUCUCAGAAAUAUGCUCCAUGCUGCUCCCAGUGAGGCUUACUCCCAUGUAAGCAUACCUAGCAUUGCAGUCCGAAAGCAACAAUUUAGGGAGAGGAGAGGACUUGACAUUUGUAUGGGGCAGGCCUGCACUCCAGGGUCCCACUGAUUGAGCGGGGACAGGACCUAUUCUCUGGCCACUAUCCUUCGUUAAAACUAUGGGUCCAUUGACAGGGGGAAUAGAGCAACAAGUAACUAAUAAUAUUUAAUUUUAAUGUAAUAAUAUGCUAAACAUUUGACCGCGGCCCCUGCGUGCCAAGUUGUGGAUAGUUCUGGCCCACCAGGGCAUUUGAGUUGUGCAGCCCUGUUCUAUAGUGUCUGAGGGGGUUGAGGAUGUGAGGCACUGCUUUUCAGGGGUUCCACUCUUAUCUCUCAGGCAGAUUCCAGAUGGUAUAACUCAGGGACUGUUGUUCUUCAAAAACUGAACUUUGGUACAGUGUUCCUCAGGUCUCCGUAUUGUCUCUAAUGUUGUUUAACAUCUAGAUGAAACCGCUGGGAGAGAUCAUCAGGAGAUUUGGUGCAGGUGUAUGCUAAUGACACCCAAAUCUUUUUCUCCAUGUCAACAUCAUCGGGAGAAGGCAUAACCUCCCUAAAUGCCUGCCUGGAGGCAGUGAUGGGCUGGAUGAGAGAUGCUGGAUAUAGAGAAGGCCCCAGACAAUGUAAAGGCACCUAGAAGAACAGGCCCUGCUGGGAGUGAGUCAGCAUGGCUUCCGCAAAGAAAGCAGAAUAUGAAAGGAGGCAACAAAACAUCACAGCACAACGAUUCAGCACAAGUGAUGAAGUUAACUUAAAACUACUACAGGAUUUCUUCAAAUUGAAUGGGAAAGCGAUUACAAUCUUAACACUCCCAACAGUGAUGAUACUAACUGCAAAAAUUGAUUUAGGACUACUAGGUUUCCAAUUCCAGGAAAAAAAACUUCUGUAUUGCUAUGUUGCCUUGGAAAUUCCACAGUCACAGAAAGGAAACAACAAGCUGUCCUUUCCCUAAUUACAUUUUGUUAGGUCAAUGUUAUUAUUUUACUGAAGUAACAAAUUGUACAAAGUAGUAAAAGUAGUUACCAAUAUUGUCUUCCCCUAUUUUUGUAUUUACAAUAAACAAAUCAUAUUAUAGCAGACCAAGCAAUGAAGCACAAAUACAACAACCAACUACUGCUAACUGGGCAAAAAGGCACCUUUUAAAGUGCGCAUCUCUUCAAAGGUCUCUAAAGCAACUGCGCCCAUUCAACAGCCUCCAGUGGUUGUUUCUCAUUUCUGCCUUAUGUUUCUUUUUAGACUGUGUGACAGGGAACCAUCUUAUUUAUUAUUAUUAUCAAUUUUCAUCAUCUUUAUGUAAACUGCCCCAAGAAUGCUUUUGUGGGAGAAAAUAUAUAUCUAUAUCUAUA